UACGUAGGGUGCAAGCGUUGUUCGGAAUUAUUGGGCGUAAAGCGCGUGUAGGCGGCUUUGCAAGUCGGGUGUGAAAUCCCUCAGCUUAACUGAGGAAGUGCGCCCGAAACUGCCGAGCUUGAGUACCGGAGAGGGUGGCGGAAUUCCCCAAGUAGAGGUGAAAUUCGUAGAUAUGGGGAGGAACACCGGUGGCGAAGGCGGGUUGCUGGGCUGAUACUGACGCUGAGGCGCGAAAGCCAGGGGAGCGAACGGG
rnacentral:rRNA from 1 species